rnacentral:rRNA from 1 species
UACGUAGGGGGCAAGCGUUGUCCGGAAUCAUUGGGCGUAAAGAGCGUGUAGGCGGCCUGAUAAGUCGGUUGUGAAAGUCAAGGGCUCAACCCUUGAAUGCCGGCCGAUACUGUCAGGCUGGAGUCCGGAAGAGGCGAGUGGAAUUCCUGGUGUAGCGGUGAAAUGCGCAGAUAUCAGGAGGAACACCGAUGGCGAAGGCAGCUCGCUGGGACGGUACUGACGCUGAGACGCGAAAGCGUGGGGAGCGAACAGG